GGUGGCUCAGUGGUAGAGUGCUUGCCUCAUACACAUGAGGCCCUGGGUUCUAUUCCUAGUACCA
rnacentral:tRNA from 1 species